rnacentral:rRNA from 1 species
ACGCUCGACACCUACGGAGGCAGCAGUCGGGAAUAUUGCGCAAUGGAGGAAACUCUGACGCAGUGACGCCGCGUAUAGGAAGAAGGUUUUCGGAUUGUAAACUAUUGUCGUUAGGGAAGAAAAGGACAGUACCUAAGGAGGAAGCUCCGGCUAACUACGCGCCAGCAGCCGCGGUAAUCUGAGCGGGCUGGCAAGGC